CCUACGGGAGGCAGCAGUGGGGAAUAUUGGACAAUGGGGGGAACCCUGAUCCAGCGACGCCGCGUGAGUGAAGAAGUAUUUCGGUAUGUAAAGCUCUAUCAGCAGGGAAGAAAAUGACGGUCCCUGACUAAGACGCCCCGGCUAACUACGUGCCAGCAGCCGCGGUAAUACGUAGGGGGCAAGCGUUAUCCGGAUUUACUGGGUGUAAAGGGAGCGUAGACGGUACAGCAAGUCUGAUGUGAAAGGUCGGGGCCCAACCCCGGGUGUGCAUUGGAAACUGUUGAACUGGAGUGAAGGAGAGGUAAGCGGAAUGCCUGGUGUAGCGGUGAAAUGCGUAGAUAUUAGGAGGAACACCAGUGGCGAAGGCGGCUUACUGGACUGUAACUGACGUUGAGGCUCGAAAGCGUGGGGAGCGAACAGGAUUAGAUACCCCUGUAGUC
rnacentral:rRNA from 1 species